UCUCAAAGAUUAAGCCAUGCAUGUCUAAGUGCACACCUUAAAACGGUGAAACCGCGAAUGGCUCAUUAAAUCAGCUAUGGUUCCUUAGAUCAUAUAUCCUACUUGGAUAACUGUGGUAAUUCUAGAGCUAAUACAUGCCUCGAAGCCUUGACCUAACGGAAGAGGCGCACUUAUUAGAUCAAAACCAACCGGACUUCGGUUCGCUGGCUUGAUGACUCUGGAUAAUUUCACAGAUCGCACGGCCUUUGCGUCGGCGAUGUAUCUUUCAAAUGUCUGCCCUAUCAACUUUUGAUGGUAGGUAAUUUGCCUACCAUGGUGAUAACGGGUAACGGGGAAUCAGGGUUCGAUUCCGGAGAGGGAGCCUGAGAAAUAGCUACCACAUCCAAGGAAGGCAGCAGGCGCGCAAAUUACCCACUCCCGGCACGGGGAGGUAGUGACGAAAAAUAACGAUACGGGACUCAUUCGAGGCCCCGUAAUUGGAAUGAGUACACUUUAAAUCCUUUAACGAGGAUCAAUUGGAGGGCAAGUCUGGUGCCAGCAGCCGCGGUAAU
rnacentral:rRNA from 1 species